GAUGAACGCUGGCGGCGUGCCUAAUACAUGCAAGUCGAGCGAACAGACGAGGAGCUUGCUCCUCUGACGUUAGCGGCGGACGGGUGAGUAACACGUGGAUAACCUACCUAUAAGACUGGGAUAACUUCGGGAAACCGGAGCUAAUACCGGAUAACAUGUUGAACCGCAUGGUUCAACAGUGAAAGACGGUCUUGCUGUCACUUAUAGAUGGAUCCGCGCCGCAUUAGCUAGUUGGUAAGGUAACGGCUUACCAAGGCAACGAUGCGUAGCCGACCUGAGAGGGUGAUCGGCCACACUGGAACUGAGACACGGUCCAGACUCCUACGGGAGGCAGCAGUAGGGAAUCUUCCGCAAUGGGCGAAAGCCUGACGGAGCAACGCCGCGUGAGUGAAGAAGGUCUUCGGAGCGUAAAACUCUGUUAUUAGGGAAGAACAAAUGUGUAAGUAACUAUGCACGGCUUGACGGUACCUAAUCAGAAAGCCACGGCUAACUACGUG
rnacentral:rRNA from 1 species